CUUCUUUUGAUGACUCCCCCUUGUUAACACUCUCUGUCGAAUCAAUUAUAGUUCAUAUGCUAAAUGCAGAAUAAGCAUUUUAUUAAUGACCAUGAAAUUCAACAUUGCAUUGUAUCGAUACGAAUGAGCAUGGCAUUGGAUAGAAAUUCUGUAUGCGUUUUCUAAAAAAAAGCACCAUUUUGUUCAAUAGAAACGUAAAAUAUCAGUUUUAAGUGUACUUAGAAUCGAUGAAAUCGUCUCUCCAAUUAUUGCCAUCGAUACAAUUGAUUUCAGGAGUUUGAAAACCUGUUUUGAUGAAAAUAAAUUUUUUCUCAGCACAUAAAAGACUUGGAUUCUUCUUGACCGCCAUAGUUCUCUUUCAUGCAGUGCAGGAAUCAAGUGGUCGCAAAAUGUUGGAAUUAAGCGCAGCAAUCUGUUUGUUGGCAGCUUCUGCUGUAGUGUCGAGUGACUAUUACGCAAAUCCAAAAGUAUUUCAUUUUACAAGAGAUCAAAGCGAAAGCAAUGGUUUCAAUUUUGAAUACACAUUGGCUAAUGGUGAAAAAUUCAUUGGCAAAGCGACCCCUUUGCAUAGUCGUUCAACGAAUAUCUACGUGAUGAUGGGCGCCGAUGACUCAUUCUACUGGGUUAACUUUUCAGAAGAUGAUCUCAAGAAAGAUUCUUUUGAUAAAUCUGCGAACUAUGUGCAUCUCGAUCGAGGAAACAAAAUACUGGCUAAUUUGAUGGAUGACUUCGUUUCUUAUGAUAUUUAUCGAAAUGGUAUACUGAUCGGGGGACCGUAUGCAACAUAGUUAGUUCAAAUUGGGAUGUGAAUAAAGUUGCCUUUCAACGGGCUGAUACUAAAUCGAAAACAUUCAAUUAUGUAAUCUCGUCAUCAAAUAAUGGAAGGCAAUACAGAAACAUAACAUCGUAUACCGCUGAUCCACAUAUUCAAACGAUUAACGUACCAGAUUAUCACGAAUGUUUCUUAUUCCAAGCCACUUUCACUGACGAAGAACUCAAUUCUAGUCAAACAAUCCAUAAACAAUUGGAUCAAAGCACUGUAUGUGAGCCUCCACCAGCAGGAGUUCCCCCUGGGUGCUUUAAUGGAGAUCGAUCCAAAUCUUCUCAAAAGCUUGACUGGGUAGACUAAGUCUACUAUGCCAUUAGUUGCAGAGAUUACUAUGAGAUAUUUUUAUUCAUAUGGGAUAGAAAUAUCGCAUAAAAUUUUCCUUUGGAAGCAAAGAUAAUUUCAGAUUUACAGUUAUAACACCUAUUCGCUAAUAAUUGAUCGGUAUUAACAUGUUUAUAAUGAAAUAAAUAAAAAAUGCUGACAAUAUAUUUUUUUAAAUAGCAAGAUGACCAUAGUAUUUCUGACUUUAAUAAUUAGACAGCAAAAGUUUCACCAGUUGAAAUUAUUUGAUUUUAUAAAGUUUAUGUUGAUUGAUGAGGCCAAAUUUAUAGCAUUGAAACAUUGCGAACUUUGAAGUAAAUACGAUUUCCUAGC